rnacentral:rRNA from 1 species
GUAAAGCGCGCGCAGGCGGUUUCUUAAGUCUGAUGUGAAAGCCCCCGGCUCAACCGGGGAGGGUCAUUGGAAACUGGGGAACUUGAGUGCAGAAGAGGAGAGUGGAAUUCCACGUGUAGCGGUGAAAUGCGUAGAGAUGUGGAGGAACACCAGUGGCGAAGGCGACUCUCUGGUCUGUAACUGACGCUGAGGCGCGAAAGCGUGGGGAGCGAACAGGAUUAGAUACCC